AUUGAACGCUGGCGGCAUGCUUUACACAUGCAAGUCGAACGGUAACAGGUUAAGCUGACGAGUGGCGAACGGGUGAGUAAUGCAUCGGAACGUGCCCGAUCGUGGGGGAUAACGCAGCGAAAGCUGCGCUAAUACCGCAUACGAUCUGAGGAUGAAAGCGGGGGACCGUAAGGCCUCGCGCGAUCGGAGCGGCCGAUGGCAGAUUAGGUAGUUGGGGGGGUAAAGGCUCACCAAGCCGACGAUCUGUAGCUGGUCUGAGAGGACGACCAGCCACACUGGGACUGAGACACGGCCCAGACUCCUACGGGAGGCAGCAGUGGGGAAUUUUGGACAAUGGGCGAAAGCCUGAUCCAGCAAUGCCGCGUGCAGGAAGAAGGCCUUCGGGUUGUAAACCGCUUUUGUCAGGGAAGAAACGCGCUGAGCUAAUACCUCGGCGUAAUGACGGUACCUGAAGAAUAAGCACCGGCUAACUACGUGCCAGCCGCCGCAGUAAGAC
rnacentral:rRNA from 1 species